rnacentral:lncRNA from 1 species
UCAACCUCCUCGAUUUCUGAUAUCACCUUUCUCCGGCCUGAAGCCCUUGAAGAAGAAGAAGGUCCGGAUGGGCCCGCCUUUCUUCUCUCCUCAAAAAACUCCCGAGAACCAUUUCUAUCCGUUUCCGUAGAAUAACUCUUCUGAAACGAUAUAUCCGAACACGAAACCGGGCCCGGGCCCAGUCCCGCUCUCACAUCACCAUAGUCUUCCACCUCACUGCUCGGAGGAGCAGCCAUCAUUUCUUCAGGAUAAUAUCUAUGGACAUGAGUCCCAUCAGAAACCGUGAAGUUGAGCACAUUCUCACAAGCACCACACCUCAAACUAUGGCAUCUUUUCUUGAAAACAAGAAAGCUUUGAGGCAGCUGUAGAACCUCUGAGCACCGGUAACAAGCAAUCCAUGGUGACCCACCGGAAAUCGGCCGGACGUAUCGUUUUUUUGGAGACUUUUUGUACGUCGGUUUUGGUUUUGGGACGUCAAUUCUGUGGCGGUGGAUGUCAUCGGGUUCCGGUGUAGUAAAAUCAGACUCUGAACUGUAGCACGUGCUGGGCACGUAAUGAGGCCCAUUACAGCAAACAUGUUGAUGUUGAUGUUGAUGUGGCCUAGGAAUUUGUUGUGCUGAGAAAUGACGGUGCUCUUGUGGUUGUGGAUAACAAUGGUGGCACGUGCCGGAUCCGGACCCACCAUCUCUUCUUCUAUUUACUUCGCCGGAAAACGCGUAUCUUCUGGGAUGAUUCAAACCAUGAUCGUAGUAGUACGAAGAAGGUAGCUGUGCAGAUUGCGAGACGUUUGUUCUUUCGAGUUGAUCUUGUAGUUCUCGCACCAUUUUCAACAGCUCUAGUCUCUCCAUUUUCGGGUUUCCAGUAAUGGCAUUCACAUUCACAGGUGGACGAUGUCUUGAAGGGAUG